AUCCAACUGACCAGUCCCAAAUAGGACGGAACGCUCAUCCUGAAU
rfam:Schistosoma rodhaini strain Burundi genome assembly, scaffold: SROB_scaffold0001132